rnacentral:rRNA from 15 species
CGGGAGGCAGCAGUGGGGAAUCUUGGACAAUGGGCGAAAGCCUGAUCCAGCCACGCCGCGUGAGUGAUGAAGGCCUUCGGGUUGUAAAGCUCUGUGGGGAGGGACGAAAAAGGUCGUCAAGAUAACGGGCGGCCCUUGACGGUACCUCCUUAGCAAGCACCGGCUAACUCUGUGCCAGCAGCCGCGGUAAGACAGAGGGUGCAAACGUUGCUCGGAAUCACUGGGCGUAAAGCGCGUGUAGGCGGGUCGGCAAGUCAGGUGUGAAAUCCCUGGGCUCAACCCAGGAACUGCAUCUGAAACUGCCAGCCUUGAGUGUCGGAGAGGGAAGCGGAAUUCCUGGUGUAGAGGUGAAAUUCGUAGAU